AUGGAGAUAUCUGUCAGUUUGUCCUUUUUUAUAUUUAUUAUUUAUUUUUUUUUUACAGUUUUCAGAUUUUCUAUCAUGGCUUUUGUGACUGAACACAAACCAGUUAAAAAGAAAAGAAAGUCUAUCGAGAGUUCUAAGCCCACUGAAUGUGAUUCCUGCCCUCCUUGCACCCGCUGUGAUUUUUGCUACAGUUGGAAAUACAGUUAAGCAGAUGUUCUAUUCAUCAGAGACCCUGGCUAAGGUACAAUAGCCGAGUGCCAGAAAUCAGACACAGGAGUGUGAAGCUGGUAUUAUUCUUCGAUUGAAUCACAUCUUGUGUUAAUCCUACCCUUGCCGAAGGUGAGUUUAUUCACAUGUCUUUGGUCUGGAGAUCAAAUGGUGAGUUUAUUGGUAUACUGUCUCUUGUGAACUUAUGAGUAUUUCCUUUCUAAAUUCAAUUUAAAACAACCCUAAUUGAGGCAGUUUUUAUGGAUUACUGCCCUUCCAUUUUGGAAAUGAAGAGAUGGCUGACUGGUUCACCAAUCUGGCAAGUUUCGAUAAUUCCACACAUCCAUUUGUUCAAAUAAGCCUGGAUAUUAUGCAAUGGUAGUUUGAUCUAAUUUUUACUUAUAAAACAGAGAAACCCAAAGAACAUGUCACCGGGCUGUUUCUCCCCUUCUAUUCAGACCACAUUUUGUGUUUGAUUUUUUUUUCUUAUCACAUUAAUUUCCUCUACUUCAACAUUCCCCCCAUUCCUCUGUAGUGUUUAUACAACUUAAAUACUUGCAGAUAGUUAUCAUAUCUGCUUUGAGUCAUUGCUUGGACCAGAAAGACACGUGGGCUGGCUUCUUUCGCUUUUUAAAAAAUUUUUCCUUCAGAAUGCAGUUGAUCAAUAUUAUCACUUUGCUUUGAGAGAUACACUCUUUAUUCCAUUUUUCUAAAUGCAUCUGAACCAAAAUGCUUCUCCUUUCUGGAUGUGUGUAUCCAGAAAGUGACCCUUCCUGUGCUGAGAGACACAGAGGGCAUAGUGGCCUGUGUUUGGUGUUUGGCUGGGAAGUUGCUUCUACUUUUUCAUUAGUGUUAUGAUCACAGGCAAUCUCAUAAUUUUCCUAAACCUCAAUUUCCUUAGAUAAAAAUAACCAUCUCCAAUAGUUUCAUUGGUACAAACAAUGGAAGCAUAGCAAUCUGACAAAAGUGGC
rnacentral:lncRNA from 1 species